AUGCUUGCUUUGGCAGCACGAACACUGAGGUUGGGAUAACGCAGAGAAGAUUAGAGUGGUACUGUGUAAGGGUAACAUGCAAAGUGAAGCAUUC
rnacentral:snRNA from 1 species